ACGGAGGGGGCGAGCGUUGUCCGAAGUUACUGGGCGUAAAGCGCGCGUAGGCGGGUCAGUAAGUCUGCCGUGAAAGCCCGGGGCUCAACCCCGGCGGGUCGGUGGAUACUGCUGGUCUUGAAGCGGCCAGGGGAAGAUGGAAUUACCGGUGUAGCGGUGAAAUGCGUAGAUAUCGGUAGGAACACCCGUGGCGAAGGCGGUCUUCUGGGGCUGGCUUGACGCUGAGGCGCGAAAGCUGGGGGAGCGAACGGGAUUAGAUACCCCGGUAGUCCCAGCUGUAAACGAUGGAUACUAGGUGUCGGGGGUAUCGACCCCUCCGGCGCCGUCGCUAACGCAGUAAGUAUCCCGCCUGGGGAGUACGGCCGCAAGGUUG
rnacentral:rRNA from 1 species